AAGUGGCAGUUGGGGCAGUUGGGCCGGAGAAGGAGAAGAGGAGGAAUGGUUGUGGCGAUGAGGAAGAAGGAGGUGUUGUUGUGAGUUUGUGAAGUACAUCCUGGGUGGGGUGGGGGUGGGAAGACUGGGAUCAGGUUCUGGGAGUGGUUGUGGUGGAAGCAGGUAGAAUGGGAUGGUUGUUAGGUGCAGGGAAAGAUCCAGCAGACUGUGACACCAAGGAGAAGGAUUUAUUUUAUUUUUAUUGUAUUUUAUUGCAUUUUAUAUCCCACCUUUUCCCAUCCUACCCUCCUAGUGGUGCAGAAAUAAUAAUAAUAAAAGAAACUAAGCAGGGUUCCUCAUGCUUUGUUUGUCACAGUUCGUUUCACGGGCAAUCGAAGUCCUGGCUGGGGACGUUGGGACCGGGGGCAAGAUGGCGGGGUGGGAGCAGGAACGGGAGUCCAGAAGCCAGGAGUCAGAAAUCCAAGAGUCCGAGGGUCAGAGAGCCGGGAGUCAAGAAGCCAAGGGUCUGAGGGUCAGGAAGCAAGGAGUCACAAAGUCAGGAGUCUGAGGAUCAAAAAGCAAGGAGUUGCGAAGUCAGGGGUCCGAGGAUCUAGAACCAAGGAGUCAGGAAGUCGAGGGUCCAUGGAUCAAGAAGCAAGGAGUCAAACGCAGCAAGGCAGGGAACGUGUUGCUGUGGCAAAGAGCCGAAGGGAAAAUGCUGACCUUAUAUCCCUUCCCAGCUCUUGCCACCAGGUGCUGUGAGUUACCAAUCAGCCUCACCUGUGUGGCCACGCCUUGCCUCUUCAGAACAAACUUAGGAAGGCCCCAGUCCUGUAAAGUUCUAUUGGUCACAGGACUUGGCUCCUGCACACACACCUGACAUUGUAUCUCCAAGGAGGUCAAGAUGCUAUACAUGGUUCUCCUCCUCAUCACUGAAUCCCCACAACAGUCCUGUGAGGCAGAUCAGGCUGAGAGGCAGUGACUGGCCUAAGGUCACCCACUGAGCUUUGUAGCUGAGUGGGGAUUUGAAAUCUGGACUCUCGGGUCCUAGUCCAACACUAGAGAAAGAUUUAGGAGUUCGGGCGCACUGGACAUGAAGCCUUGGAGAAGCCACCACAACUGUGAUGUAGAAUGGAAGGUGGGGGUUGCUGAAUUUUGGCAUUGCAGAGGGCGCUGGCGAAAUUUGAUACCCCAAAGUCCACCACUGCCAACCCUCAAACCACUGUCCCACACUGGCUCCACGUUGCCACAGAGGAGCACCCAGGGACCAUUGCAGAACCAUACAGGACCAGGCUGUAGAAAAAGAAUGCAACACUGGUUCAUUUUUCCCAGAAGGGAUGCAGUCUUGUAAGGAGGCUAUAUGUGGGGAAAAGGUUAUCCCUUCCAUCACUGGUAAUAAGGGUUGUGUCAGGAGGGGGUGGCAUAGCUGCCUGGUUGGCAGCCCCAGGAACUGCCCAGAAGGUGAUCCCGGUGGACCAGAAAUGAGAGGGCACAGACAUAGGGCAGGGAGUGCUGGUGAAUGCACCUGGGAGAAAGAUAAAGGGGUGGCUAAGAUGUGAUGCCCAUGCCAGCCAAAGAUGGAGACCUUCCCCCAGUCGCACUGGGCCUGAGGGUUAAACUGAGCAACACGGUCCAGAUCUGGUCCCAAAUCCAAGGGUUCUAUGAGGAGUCAGUCCAACAGGGCCAAGGCAGGGCACGAGGCAGGAAACCAGGCAAGGUCAGGCACAGGAUCUCAGGCAGGUUCUAGCAAACAGCAAUGUUGCUCCCGCAACCUGGGGCAGGGUCUGACAGCCUUUUAUCUUUGUCGGGGUAACGGCCGGUCCUGAUCCCCUGGUGACUCACCUCCCUGUCUUGUCCGAAGGCGAGCACUCCUCCUGCGAGUACUCAGGUCUCUCCUUCUCUCAGACCUUAGUCUCUGCAGCUCGGGAGACGUCGGUGGGUUACUAGACCCAGGGGCUGCCUCAGCCUCCCUUGACCCAACUGGUAGUGGAGCAGCUGUAAGUGAUGGCCCAGCUGAAGGCAACGAGGUCAUCCCUGCAUCUGGAGCCAGGAAAGGCUCAGGCCCCUGACUCGGCCCAGCUGGUGCUUGUUGCAGGGGAACCUGUGCAGACUGGGGCUCUUCAGAAUCAGGCCCCAGACUAGGUUCAGAUGCCGCCUGAGGCAAAGGAUCCGGUGCGGACUGAGACUCCUCUGGUUCUGAGUCCAAGCCCAAGUCCCAGGCCAUCACACCCACAUACAGAAUCCACGUGAUGGGACAAAAAUGGACCUGAGGGCAGCAGACUAGGCGUCAGGCUUCGGGGAAUCAGAUCUGCCCCCCCCCCCGUGGCAGUAAACAAGCAGAUCAAACAAAAGGAGCAUUCUUACCAGUUAGUUUCUUUAAUAAUCACAGUCAGAGACAAAGAAAGGAAUGCAUCUCUCUCUCGAAAUCGCGGUUGCUUCCAGUAAAGGCUCACCCCCUCCAUCCCCAUUAUUUACACCACUCCUACGUGGGUAAUCUGAGUUUGUUGCCACUGAGCCCUCUGUUCAUUCACUCUCAAAGCCCGACUAGUCUUAGGCGAAGGGGGCCAGGAAUGCUUUCCAAGGACACUGAAUCUGCCAACUGUCUCUCUCCUGGUGUUUCCUCUUCUAGCUGUUCCUCACCCAGUAUUUCCCAGCUUUACCCCUUUGGACUAUGCCCCUCUGCAAACCACUGUUCUAAAUCUAUACUGCCCUUGGGAAGGUUCAAGAGAAGGGGCGGCGGCCCCCACCAUUCCUCCUCAGUCCAGCCCCUGACACUAGGUGGCCUAAAGAAGGCUUGCUUAGAUCAAUCAGAGAACAUUCCUGUUGGGAAUGGUGGGAGAGGAUAUUGACAAGAAUGACCAGAAACUGUUCUUAUACAGUGGUGCCUCGCAAGACGAAAAGAAUCCGUUCUGUGAGUCUCUUCGUCUAGCGGUUUUUUCGUCUUGCGAAGCAAGCCCAUUGACGGAUUAGCGGAUUAGCGCUAUUAGCGCUAUUAGCGGCUUUUAGCGGCUUUUAGCGGCUUAUCAGCUUAUCGGAUAAACAGAUAAGCGGCUUAGCGGCUUAGAAAAAGGGGGGAAAAGGGAAAAAAACCCGCAGGAACUCGCAAGACAUUUUCGUCUUGCGAAGCAAGCCCAUAGGAGAUUCGUUUUGCGAAGCACCUCCAAAAUGGAAAACUCUUUCGUCUAGCGAGUUUUCCGUCUUGCGAGGCAUUCGUCUUGCGGGGCACCACUGUACGCAACAACAGCAGCGAGGUUAUUGCUGGCUCAGGUGUGGAAACAGCAAAAAUUGCCUACAAUAGAAGAAUGGCAGUACAAGGUUAUGGAGUAUGCAGAAAUAGGCAAACUAACAGCAAAAAUUUGACAUCAGGGUGACGAAACAUACCAAAAAGAAUGGGGAAAAAUUUAUGUUAUAUAUAGAGGAGACGAUGUGAAAUAGGGAAACCAGGAGAUCUGAAAUAAACCUCCUAAUGGGAAAACACAAGAAAUUUAUUGGAUAAUAAUAUCAAAAUGAAUUAAAAAUGUAUAUUAGGACUAUUGUUGAACAAUAUUUGUAAAUGAAUAUAGACAGACAACAAGAAUUGUAUAUAUAGAAAGAUUUAUUUGUUUACAGACAUUUUAUGGAAAAAAUUUGAAGAAGAACAAUUAUAUAUAAAAUGGACAAAGACAAUGUGAAAAGUUAACGACGACAUAAAAAAGCCGGAAGAAGGAAGGAGGGAAGUCAGCUCGGGAGAGCAAGAACAAAUGUGAAAUAUAAUGUAUGUGUAUGUAUAGUAUAUAACUAAAAAUUCAAUAAUGAUCAUCUUAAAAAGUAAAUAAAUAAGUAGAUGAAUCAGGGAAAUUGCUGGGGGCGGGGCACAGUGCCCCCUGGCAACUGCAACCUAAGAUAUCUGUCUCACUCUGCCUAACAGUAGGGAUGACUCUGCGGAUACCUUCCUCUUGUGUGCUUUGGAUACAAAAGAGCCCACCUUCUGAGCAUAAAGGAUUCUUUGCUCAGGAGCAUUUUGCGUCUAAGAGACUCCCUAAGGAAGGAGGUACUGGUAAGCCCCAUAUGUUUCUCGAUUGAGGGAAGUCUAGCAACAGGUACCAGUUCACAAGGCAAAAGAUGCCUUGAUCUCUCUUUUUCAUCACUCUCUAGAUCAGAAGGGCCAUAGCUGAGUGGUAGAGCAUCUGCUUUGCAUGCACAAGGUCACAGGUUCAACCCCCAACAUCUCCAACUGGGACAAGACUCCUUGUCUGAAAUCCUGGAGGGCUGCUGCCUGUCAGAACAGACAAUACUGAACUGGAUGGACCCAUGGUCUGACUCAGGAUAAAAAAGCUUCCUCUGAAGGUCCUCCACAUUGCUCAAGGCCCACAACCUUCAAUGACAUACCAGUUUAUAAUAAUAAUAAUAAUAAUAAUAAUAAUAAUAAUAAUAAUAAUUAUUAUUAGUAUUAUUAUUAUUAUUACCCCGCCCAUCUGGCUGGGCUUCCCCAGCCACUCUGGGCGGCUUCCAAAAAAAAUAUUAAAAUACAGUAAUGCAUCAAACAUUAAAAGCGUCCCUAAACAGGGCUACCUUCAGAUGUCUUCUAAAAGUCUGGUAGUUGUGGUUCUCUUUGACAUCUGAUGGGAGGGCGUUCCACAGGGAGGGUGCCACUACCGAGAAGGCCCUCUGCCUGGUUCCCUGUAACUUGGCUUCUCGCAGUGAGGGAAUCGCCAGAAGGCCCUCAGAGCUGGACCUCAGUGUCCGGGUAGAACGAUGGGGGUGGAGACGCUCCUUCAGAUAAACUGGACCAAGGCCGUUUAGGGCUUUAAAGGUCAGCACCAACACUUCAAAUUGUGCUCGGAAAUGUACUGGGAGCCAAUGUAGGUCUUUCAAGACCAGUGUUAUAUGGGCUCGGCGGCCGCUCCCAGUCACCAGUCUGGCUGCCACAUUCAGGAUUAGUUGUAGUUUCUGGGCCACCUUCAAAGGUAGCCCCACGUAGAGUGCAUUGCAGUAGUCCAAGUGGGAGAUAACCAGUUUAACAUCAUUAUUUACCAAUUUCUGUAUAUGGUCCGUGAAGCGGAACAAAUUCCAAAUAGAGUCAUCCUCUCAAAGCUGACAUUCUGCCAUGAUAAGAACUCCUUAGCUAAUACGCAGAAUGAGGGCCAGACGGCCUAUGAACUGCAUACCUAAAAUAAUCCUCAGCCACCGCCAGAGGGAAAUGGAUGCUAAACCCGUUGCAAAAGAUAUGGAUUUCUGUCUUAUUAUUUAUACAGCACCAUCAGGACGCAUUGAAUUUUACAGUGUUCAAGAUGGCACGUAUCUGCUGCAGGAUGCUGCCUGACCCUGGAAGGGCUUUCUCCAUGUGACUUGAUAGUAAUAAUAAUAAUAAUAAUAAUAAUAAUAAUAAUAAUAAAUUUUAUUUAUAUCCCGCCCUCCCCAGCCGAAGCUGGGCUCAGGGCGGCUAACAACAAUUAAAAUAAUCCAACAUUCUAAAAACAUUCAUUAUAAAAUUAAUUAAAAUCAAAUUAAAAUCAAAUUGGUGGCAACCAUUAAGCAAAAUUCUGUGCAGAUUGCCAGAGGAGGGGGUCAGGCUGCGCCCUGACCAAAGGCCUGGUGGAACAGCUCUGUCUUGCAGGCCCUGCGGAAAGAUGUCAGGUCCCGCAGGGCCCUAGUCUCUUGUGACAGAGCGUUCCACCAGAUUGGAGCUGCGGCCGAGAAAGCCCUGGCUCUAGUUGAGGCCAGCCUAACCUCUCUGUGGCCUGGGAUCUUCAGGAUGUUUUUAUUUGCAGACCGUAAAUUUCUCUGUGGGACAUACCAGGAGAGGCGGUCCCGUGAUCUCACCAAAUUGGCCCAAAUCACUUUGGGUUAGGGCCAAAUCCUGUGGGUGGUCUUACAUUUCAGUGCCUCUUUCUCCCAAUAUACACAUUUCAAAAUGCAAUUUCACCCAACGUAAACAUGUUUUCUAAAGCGAUUCCCCCCAGUUGAUGCAUUUUAUACCUUGUUUUCAGCAGUAUAUGCCUUUGUAUGCGGACCUCACCCUUGUACACACCGACCGGCUGCAAAAUUCAGAGAAGUGCAACCUUCAAAAGGUGGAUGUGCUGUGGUUCUUGUACUGUUUCAGAAAGUCGGCUCAAUACAUUUUGGCGCCUGAGGCAAAGCCCAAGAUCUAUAGUGGGACCUGCUGGCUCUGUGUAUUUUGCCCCCUGAGGCUGUCGCCUCACCUUUCCUGAUGGGUGAGCCAUACCUGGAAUUAACUACAUUUUCGGUAACAUGCAACCUAAAUUAAAUUCCCCCCACAACCCUACUUAUGAAUGAAUGAAUGCAAAUUGACUUAAAACAACUGGUAGUUCUGUCCCCUGAGGCUGUGUGGUUUGCCCAACUUUUCAGUUGCUUCAGCACAGUUCCCUCUCGCCCCACCAAUUAAAAAUGCACGUGUGAAUAUUGUCCAUUGAUAAAACCCUGAAAAUUCAGUCAUCCUGAUGCAAUCAUGUUUCUAAUGCUUUACAGUCCUCUAAGAAGGUCAACAAGCAUAUAGAUUGAUUUGGUUGACAUGGUGUAGUUCAACUUUCAGAAAGCUUUUGUUUUUUUAAUUUUUAAUAAAUGAAAAUUAUUUACAAAAAUGCAUAUUAGGGGGGGAAAUUGCUUGGGAAAAUGUGUGCAUUAGUCAACAGUGCAUACAAAAACAUGUUUGUUCAGAGAAACUCACACCUAAAAUGUGAAUGAAUAUUUGUGAAGAUUAUUUAUGUGGCAGGGGGACACAAAUGGCCGCAGAAUCUGUAGAACUGAAUUUAAGAAUAGAAAAAUGAGAAGCAGAGAGAAAAGAAAUCAACGAAUUAUUUCUUCCCUAGGCCACCUCACCAUUUGUAAUUCUCUCCACCCCCUUGCAGCAAAAAUAAAAUAUCACCUUUCCACCUAGCAGCUGAUUCUGCCACCACCAAACAAAUAGUCUGAACUUGUCUCUGCAUUUAUCCAUCUCAUAAGGACAGAGAUGACACCUCGUUGGACCUCACUGGACAGAGGGGAUGAGUUGUGAGAAAGUUCAGGAGACUGAAAAUACGGACGAGGGAAGUGUGAAGCCUCAGUAUUCUCCUGACAAAUGGAUGUAGGCAGAGGCAAAGUUCGGCGUGCUGUUUACUGAAGUAGGCAAGAGGGGGAAAAAUGCAUUUCAAUUGGUCAAUUUAGCUGUAACAUGUUGGCUUCAAACCAUCUCAUUUUUCUCUUAAUAUACACACACAGACUUUUCAUUUCAGCACUUAAGAAAGAUCAAGGACUCGUGAAGCCGGGCUCUUAGGAGCUGAUGCACAAAUGAAAACUGUCUCACUGAAGCCAUUUCUGACCUUGUGUAUUUAUAGGAGGCCAGGCAACAUGCCCUUUCUAGCCACAUUUUUGAAAACCUUGCUUGGCUUACAAUGCUGGGAAGGCACAGCGGAGCAACACUGCUUUUGGUAAUCAGAUUUGAUGUUGCCAGCAUGGAUGGCAGCAAAUUGCAAUGGGACUCUCAGUUGGGAAAUCUGUGGAGAUACAGGCAAGGCCCCCCCAAAAGAGUUACAUAGUCCCAGGUCAAGGAAUUGUGCUAGCCUUGGGAGAACACUGUACUCCCCACAUGCUUUGAACAACAAAAGCCACUCUAUGGGGUUCAGGAUUGACAGAAAGCAUUUUUAACUUUGUUGUUGUUGUUUAGUCAUGCCCGACUCUUCAUGACCCCAUGGACCAGAGAACGCCAGGCACUCCUGUCUUCCACUGCCUCCAGCAGUUUGGUCAAACUCAUGUUGGUAGCUUCGAGAACACUGUCCAACCAUCUCAUCCUCUGUCGUCCCCUUCUCCUUGUGCCCUUCAUCUUUCCCAGCAUCAGGGUCUUUUCCAGGGAGUCUUCUCUUCGCAUGAGGUGGCCAAAGUAUUGGAGCCUCAGCUUCAGGAUCUGUCCUUCCAGUGAGCACUCAGGGCUGAUUUCCUUCAGAAUGGAGAGGUUUGAUCUUCUUGCAGUCCAUGGGACUCUCAAGAGUCUCCUCCAACACCAUAAUUCAAAAGCAUCCAUUCUUCGGCGAUCAGCCUUCUUUAU